rnacentral:rRNA from 1 species
GAUGAACGCUAGCGGCAGGCCUAACACAUGCAAGUCGAGGGGCAGCACAGAAACAGCAAUGUUUUGGUGGCGACCGGCGGACGGGUGCGUAACGCGUAUGCAACCUACCUUUAACAGGGGGAUACCGGAGAGAAAUUUCCACUAAUACCCCAUAACAUCGAUCAAGGCAUCUUGAUUGGUUGAUAACUCCGGUGGUUAAAGAUGGGCAUGCGUUGUAAUAGGUAGUUGGUGAGGUAAUGGCUCACCAAGCCUACGAUACAUAGGGGGACUGAGAGGUUAGCCCCCCACACUGGUACUGAGACACGGACCAGACUCCUACGGGAGGCAGCAGUGAGGAAUAUUGGUCAAUGGGGGCAACCCUGAACCAGCCAUGCCGCGUGCAGGAAGACGGCUCUAUGAGUUGUAAACUGCUUUUAAACAGGGAUAAAGCACAGUAUGUAUACUGUGUUGAAGGUACUGUAAGAAUAAGGAUCGGCUAACUCCGUGCCAGCCGCCGCGGUAA